rnacentral:rRNA from 1 species
CCAAUAGCGUAUAUUAAAGUUGUUGCAGUUAAAAAGCUCGUAGUUGAAUUUCGGGAUCAGUACGCUGGUCGUGCCUUGGUAUGUACUGGUGUUACUGGUUCCUACCUUCUGACGAACCGUCAUGUCAUUAAUUUGGUGUGGCGGGGAAUCAGGACUGUUACUUUGAAAAAAUUAGAGUGUUUAAAGCAGGCUCGCGCUUGAAUACAUUAGCAUGGAUUAAUGAAAAAGGACGUUCGAUCCUAUUUUGUUGGUUUCUAGGAUUGACGUAAUGAUUAAUAGGGAUAGUUGGGGGCAUUAGUAUUCAAUUGUCAGAGGUGAAAUUCUUGGAUUUAUUGAAGACUAACUACUGCGAAAGCAUUUGCCAAGGAUGUUUUCAUUAAUCAAGAACGAAAGUUAGGGGAUCGAAGACGAUCAGAUACCGUCGUAGUCUUAACCAUAAACUAUGCCGACUAGGGAUCGGAUGAUGUUAAUUUUUUAAUGACUCAUUCGGCGCCUUACA